AAGACUAUAUUUUGAGGGAUAAUUUCUAUAGUGUGUUUCUCGAGGAGUAUAUCUGAACGUGUAGAACGCUGGAAACCGCGAGAGGGAGAUAUUUGUGUUCUCUCACGAGUGGGAUAGCAGUGUUUGGUGUUGCGUUAUUCUAACUGCUGUUUGCUGUUGGUGACCGUUCUUCUCUAGAGAAGGCAGUCUGAGUAGU
ensembl:snoRNA U3 Small nucleolar RNA U3